rnacentral:rRNA from 1 species
UACGUAGGGGGCUAGCGUUGUCCGGAAUCAUUGGGCGUAAAGCGCGUGUAGGCGGUCCGGUAAGUCCGCUGUGAAAGUCGGGGGCUCAACCCUCGAAUGCCGGUGGAUACUGUCGGGCUAGAGUGCGGAAGGGGCGAGUGGAAUUCCUGGUGUAGCGGUGAAAUGCGCAGAUAUCAGGAGGAACACCAAUGGCGAAGGCAGCUCGCUGGGACGGUACUGACGCUGAGGCGCGAAAGCGUGGGGAGCGAACAGG